GUCUGCAUUUCUGCAGAACAAAAAAAUUUGAAUAGAGGAUUCACCUUCAUAUAAAUAAGCGCCAUAUCUUGCUUUGUUAAUAUUUUGAUCAAUAUUGUUUCUUCGACAACACAAUGAAAGCUAUCACCUACGCAGUUGUAGUGGUUUGCGUGGUUAGCGCCGUGGUGGAGUGGGCGAUGGCUGCGCCCGCUCCAGACAACCGCCUUGGUCCAGUCCACGCUAUGCUGUUUUCAGGAUUUGGUAAAUAAGCGGCACCUCUCAAGACUGCAGUAAUGGUUUUAUGAUGGACACAGUAACGAGUUCAAAUUAGUUGCCAUUUAAAAAUAUGUUAUCUUAUUAAAAUUUAUGCAUUUAAAAA